UACAGAGGUCUCAAGCGUUGUUCGGAAUCAUUGGGCGUAAAGGGUGCGUAGGCGGCAUGGCAUGUCAGAUGUGAAAUCCGGUGGCUCAACCACCGAAAUGCAUCCGAAACCGCCAUGCUGGAGAAUUGUAGAGGAGCCUGGAAUUCUCGGUGUAGCAGUGAAAUGCGUAGAUAUCGAGAAGAACGCUCGUGGCGAAGGCGAGGCUCUGGGCAAUUUCUGACGCUGAUGCACGAAGGCUAGGGGAGCAAACGGG
rnacentral:rRNA from 1 species